GUACUCUUUUCGGCAGCACAUACACUAAAAUUGAAACCGUGCCUAGAAGAUUAGCAUGGCCCCUGCAUCAGGAUGACAUACAAAUUGAUGAAGAAUACCACAUUUUU
ensembl:snRNA U6 U6 spliceosomal RNA